UUCAAGUUCUACAGCCCGACGCAUCGAAUCAGAUAACGGAACUCAUUUCAAAAAUAGCUUAGUUGCCACCUGGGCAGAGGAGCAUGGCAUCAAGUGGG